CUGGAAUAAUACACCGAAAGGGGUACUAAUACCGGAUAUUCUUGCUUUAUAUAAGUUUUGCAAGCAAAGGUGGCCUCUGACAUAAGCUACUGCAUAAAGAGGGGUCUGCGUACCAUUAGCUAGUAGGUGGGGUAAUGGCCUACCUAGGCUACGAUGGUUAGCGGGUCUGAGAGGAUGAUCCGCCACACUGGCACUGGAACACGGGCCAGACUCCUACGGGAGGCAGCAGUGAGGAAUAUUGCGCAAUGGGGGCAACCCUGACGCAGCGACGCCGCGUGAGUGAGGAAGGCCUUCGGGUCGUAAAGCUCUGUCAAAGGGAAAGAAAUGUAUAAUGGCUAAUACCUGUUAUAUUUGACGGUACCCUUAAAGGAAGCACCGGCUAACUCCGUGCCAGCAGCCGCGGUAAUACGGAGGGUGCAAGCGUUGUUCGGAAUUACUGGGCGUAAAGGGCGCGUAGGCGGUUUGAUAAGUCAGAUGUGAAAGCCCACGGCUUAACUGUGGAAGUGCAUUUGAUACUGUCAGACUUGAGUACCAGAGGGGAAAGUGGAAUUCCCGGUGUAGAGGUGAAAUUCGUAGAUAUCGGGAGGAAUACCGGUGGCGAAGGCGACUUUCUGGCUGGAUACUGACGCUGA
rnacentral:rRNA from 1 species